ACAAAAGCUAUGAACGGAAAAGUAACUCUUGGGAAUGUAGCAGAGAGGGGGUGUCACCGGCUGAAAGCACUCCUUACAGGAACUUGAGCCAAGUGCAUCCGGGAGCUGAUUCGGUGAGGAAACUAGCCGAAUCCGGUAACAGCCGUUAUCUGAUUAAGAUGUAUGCCAUAUUAUAAUUUUCAGGUAUACAAAUAGAGUGGAACCGCGUAUACACGCCUCUAUG
rnacentral:ncRNA from 1 species